CAGGGGCGUCUGCAUUUUAGUUCAAGCCGUGCACAGACGGGGCUGCGCUCUGUUAGACCUGCAGGCGCAUUUACAAGCUGCCUGGCUGAACUCGGCGGGGCAGGCCCCAGCACUCCCCACCCUGGGCCUGGGAACUCCCAGCCGGGGGUCCCUUGCCCGCAGACCUGGAAGACCUCACGAGGGGUGUACAGAGCUGGAGGAGCUGGGGAGAAAGAGCAGUAAAGGAGGGCAAGUGGGACCUCAGCCCUUGAGAAUCACCUUCAUGAAGUCUGUCUCCUCCCUCCACCACCGCUCUUCCUGCCGAGGGCAUCUUCAGCCACGGAGAAUCACGCCCACUCCCUCCUGCCCAGGCCCAGCACUACGGGGAUUAAAGGCCAACGCCAAGGGAGCAGCAGAGGAUGGGCACCAGAUCCAAAGGGCUGAACGACGUGCCCAAAGUUUCCCAAGAGCGCGUGAGUGAGGAACUGGCUCCCGACGGACCAUCCUCACCUCACAGCUAGGAGCGCACAAGUCCUGAACCCCCGAAAGCUCUGUUUUGCCCCUAAAUCCCAGAGA